rnacentral:lncRNA from 1 species
CUCAUGUACCUGCUCUGUUUCCUUUUCUCUCCCUCUAUCAUUUAUUCUAGCUACCCAGAAAUUGCCCCUGGGCUGACAUAAGCAUUUACUGGUCAAAAGUUGUUCUUAAGCUACUUUACCUCAUUAGAUUUUUACUCUUCACUAGUGCAUGUUUGUGUGGCUUGAAGGCCACACAAACAGCUCUGGAAGUUGCUUUUUUGCCCCCCAUUUCCCUAUAAAUAGAGGUUUGGAUGUUUGUUCUAUGAUCACUUCUAAACUUGCAUAGUCUUGGGAAUGCACACAGUCUUCCAGACUGUAGGUGAUAGGUGUAAUUUAGUUUUUAUUCUCACUUAAUAGAAUUCCUCCUGCUGAUAGCAGAAGACAGACAAAUUCCCAGGCAGAAAGGGGCAGGUGCCCCGUGAAACUCGACUUUCAAGCCAACGACAGUCUGAAGUCUGAAAACUGGGCUGCCAGUUCUGGUUGCAGUCUGCGACCCGGAGUGAGAACUUCCUUGAUGUCUUUUAGCCAAUUGAAUGGUGCUUUUUCCAGGCCUGCCCAUGGACCAAUCAGCAUGCACUCCCCCAUUCUGAACCCAUAAAAACCCCAGACUCGGUGUCACUUAGGGACUUUCUUCCUUCGCCUCGGGGUAUGGGCAACCCAUCUUGGGUCCCUUCUCCUGUCGAGAGCUGUUCUGUGGCUCAGUAAGACUCUUCUCUACCUUGCUCACUCUCCAGUUGUCAUGUAACACCAUUCUUCUUGGAUGCAGGACAAGAACCCGGAACCAUAGGUGCGAACACAGCUGUAACACUGUAGCCCUUCCACGUGACAGGAAGCAGUGGUAAGGCCAGGCCAGCCCAGGAGCCAUGGACCUGAGUGGGGCGGUGGGACCAAAUGAGCUGUAACACAAACCAGCUAAAACACAUUCCUGGCCUGCCCGCCGAGCUGCCGGCAGUGACACCCUCCUAUUUGCCAGACUUGGAGAGAAGAGCUGUGACCCUUCUGGGCACCCAAAUCUUGGGACUCCCCGAGCCAGAGAUACGAAACGGCGUUAACACCUCUUGGGGCUCCACGGUUGCUGGUCUCUCUUAAUCUUCGGACACCAGUGCAUUCCUCUAGUCCAGACAGCGGCGCCCAAGGCAGAAGCCGCUGGAGGCACAGUUGGUCCAGCUACAGUCUCUCUCGCUUGGAGCUUGUGCCUGUGCCUGUGCCAGUGCCUGGAGCUGCCCGCCCCACCGCAGAAGCCAGUGCACCUGGCUGUGAGCAGUGGCAGGACCCUGUGCUCCCUCGCUUACACAUCCCUCAUCGCUCCAUGCUGAGCUCACCCGCGGGGAAGCGUGGGAUCUGGGCUGGUAGCAUGAACCAAGCACAGCCUGCCAGGCUGAGUGGGUGGAGCUAGCCCAGCUGUCGUGAGCAAAACUCAAGCAGAGGUGCCAGUGGCCAAAGAGGCUUCCAUCUGGUGAAGUGGCACUGAAAGAAUCCUGUGUAGCUGGGUUAGUGCAGCUUAUUUUUCACUCAGUGUUUUGUCAAAGGUUGCAUUUAAGUGCCUUGUAUUAGAUUUCCACCUUAUGUUGAUGGGUCUGUGUGUAGAUUCGUGAAUGCUUUCAACACUGUCCCGUAUCUUUCUAUACUUACUCCUGAGUGGGUGCAGCCUAGAGCAUGUGAAUGGUCUUUCUGAAACACAGAGUCAAUUUGGAUCUCAGGGAGGCUUUUUAGGCUGUCUUUUUUUUUUCCUGGUUCUAUUAAAUAUCUGACUGUUUUGCCAUUUUGCAGGUAUGUUGGAGCUACUAGCCUCCUCUUAAACACUCGCCACUAAGAUCUCAAUCAUUUUUGACAAUUCUUUAGGCAGGUAGUUUUCCAUACUCUGUUCCAAAUAAAUCCAGUCUCCUUGGGCAGAACUGCUAACUUUUCCAUUGUUCAUUUCGUUUGAUUUGUAAAUUCAGAUUUGAAAACAUUGAAAUUAAAGACAAUAAUGAUUUCUAAGUAGAGAUUAAUCCCUUUACUACCAGAAACCUUUCCCCAAAUACAUGUCCUGGAGCACAUGUAAGGAAAGUUCCCUAAUACAGACUAACCAGUAAGGCUUGCCUUAUAUUAAUAAUUAAAUAUAAUUAUUUAAUAUUAUAGAUGCAAAUUUAUUUAAUCCUGGUUCGCUUACACAAGUGUUGCUUCAGAAACAUUGGACUUUAUCAGUUUUCUGAUGUUUCUCCUUUGAAUUUGAAACUGACCCAAUAGUCCCAUAGACUGUUCUUUUGGAUAAACAUAGGAAUUGACCUUUCUGUUCUUAAAGCUUGAAAUUGGCAUUUGUUUUAUCUGAGUUCCUUCCUCAAUAAAGAACCUUCAGUCCUCUAAAAAAAAAAAAAGUAGCAAAGAAUUGAAACUCACCAGAUCACCACAUCCAGAUAACGAGACUUUAGACCCCUCACUCAUCAUGAUUGCUUCCUUGCCCCUUCCUAGUUCCUGUUUUCUUAUACAGUGUUACAUUUCUCCCCUGCUAUAUAAACCCCUGGUUUUAGUGGUUCAGGGAGAUGGAUUUGAGAUUGCGCUCCCAUCUCUAGCUGCAGCACCCGAUUAAGGCCUUCUUACUUGGCAAUACUUGAUUGGAUUUCUGUGUGGUAAGCAGCAGGGCCUAGACUAAACCUCUGGUGUUUUGGUAACAAAUUCAGUUGUUAUAUAGUAAGUGAUCCAUUAGAAAUUAAUAUUCUUAACACACAUUUCUUUGGGAUUAAGCUUUAUCAGAAUACAUUUCUUUCAUUCAAACUUUAUAAGUAAUUUUUCAGCUAAAAAAUCCACAAAUUACAACGUGUUCAAAUAGGUGCCAAUCUUCAGAAGAGAUAAACAUGCUCAUUAGUACAUAUCUCAAUAAAUAAUUAGGGAUUGAUCCUUGAAAUAUGAUUAUACUUAUAUGUACCUCUCCCAUUCAAUCUAUUAGCAAAUUCUAUCCACACAGAAUAUAGCUCAAAUCAGUCUACUUUCCUUCAUCCCAGUUUCCUCCACCUAAUUCUAAGCCAGUGUCAGUUCUAUCCUUGAAACUAGAGUCUCUUUCCACCCUUACUUAGCACCAAUAAAACCUUCACUCAGUAGUCAGAGGGAACUUUUUAAAAUAAAAAUAGAAUCCAAAGAAAUUGAAAUCAAUAUAUCACAGUGAUACCUGCGUGUCCAUGGUCAUUGCAGCAUUAUUUACAAUAGUCAAAAUAUGAAAUCAAAAUGCAUGUUCAACAAUAGACAAAUGGAUUAAAAAAUGUGUUUUAUAAACCUGAUGGAAGGUUUAUAAAGUUAUAAGUUUAUAAAGUUAUUUAUAAGUUAUUUAUAAAGUUUAUAAGGUUAUUCAGCCUUAAAAAGGAAAGAAAUUAUGUCAUUUUUGACAACGUGGAUGAAUCUGGAGAACAUUAUGUUAAGUGAAAUAAGUCAGGCAUAGAAAGACAAAUACAACAUGAUCUUACUUAUAUAUGGAGCCUUAAACAAUCAAACUCAUAGAAGUAGAGUAAAAUGUUGGUUACCAGAGGCUGGAGGCAGGAGAAGAAAUGGGAAAAGGUUUGUCAAACGGUACAAAGUUUCAGUUAGUCAGGAAGAAUACGUUUUUAAGAUCUAUUGCACAACAUGGUGACUAUAUUAAUAAUGCAUUGUAUAUUCAAAAUUGCUAAGAGAUUAAAUGUCAAAUGUCUCACCACAAAAAAUAAGUGAAGUGAUGUAUAUGCUAAUUAGCCUUAUUUAAUCAUUCCAGGUUGUAUCACAUUGUAUCCCACAAAUACAUGCAAUUAUUCUUUGUCAAUUAAAAUGCCAUCCUGUUUUGUUAUUUUUUCUAUUGAGUGUUUUGUAUUCUUUUACUUUAUUUUACUAAUGUGUUCAAUAGUCAUAUGAUAGAAAUAAAGUCAGGGCUCAUCAGAUAAAGAAACAUUUUCAGGUGGAUUAAUUAUCAAAAUUUAUACAUGAAAACCUGUAUUUAAAAGUAUAAAAUAUAGAAACAAACAUAUACAAAUAUAGAUACAGAAAUGUAUUACAUGUAUUUAGAUAUAUAUACACAUACAUAAAUAUAUACAUUCAAUUCUGUAUUUUAUGUUACAUCUCAUGUUUAGGAAGAAACACCUUUCUAGUACUAAAACAUUUUCGUCAUAAGCAACUAGAACUUCAUGUUAUCACAACAUGUAAUGUUCCCUCUUUGUCCACCCCCACUCCCAAUUUUCUUACCUUACCUAUAGAGUAUUAUGUGUACAUAUUUAUAUAAAUGUUUUUGUGCACUGAAUAUAUUGUUUUACCAUUUACUUUUUAG